AACGAACGCUGGCGGCAGGCCUAACACAUGCAAGUCGAGCGCGCCCUUCGGGGUGAGCGGCGGACGGGUGAGUAACGCGUGGGAACGUGCCCUUCUCUACGGAAUAGUCUCGGGAAACUGGGGGUAAUACCGUAUACGCCCUAUGGGGGAAAGAUUUAUCGGAGAAGGAUCGGCCCGCGUUGGAUUAGGUAGUUGGUGGGGUAAUGGCCUACCAAGCCGACGAUCUAUAGCUGGUUUGGGAGGAUGAUCAGCCACACUGGGACUGAGACACGGCCCAGACUCCUACGGGAGGCAGCAGUGGGGAAUCUUAGACAAUGGGCGCAAGCCUGAUCUAGCCAUGCCGCGUGAGCGAUGAAGGCCUUAGGGUUGUAAAGCUCUUUCAGCUGGGAAGAUAAUGACUGUACCAGCAGAAGAAGCCCCGGCUAACUCCGUGCCAGCCGCCGCAGUAAAAC
rnacentral:rRNA from 1 species